GUGUAUGCUUUAGUAACUUUAUUUCUCUUGUGUCUUCCUAUUAAUUACUGGAUCAGAGAUGAGGUGAACUAGUCAAUAAAAUGUUCAGAACUUCCCGCUACAAACGCAUGCGAUACAGCAAACACAAACUAUUAACUAAUGAGACUGAUCUCUCUACAAAAAAAAAACAACAA